UCAUGGCAGCUGUAGGAAACACAGGAACUCCAUGACCUGGAAAAUGUGGGACAACUGCCACAAGGUGACCCUGGAAGGCUGGGGAAAUUCUGAAUAUUGAAUGAUUGUUGAAGACAACAUUUUAUCUUUUUCAAUAUGGAUAACAUCAUUUACAAAAUGUUUGAAGGACACUAGCUCGAUUGACGUUGGAAUGGAAGCUUCCUGGGGCCAGGAAUCUCUGUUUGCUUCACUGAUAUAACCCAAAUAC